ensembl:lncRNA
AUUGUCACGCAUCGCUCUACUUCCCGUGUUUAAUACAGACCACAGCACAAGUAGCUUGUGGCUAACAAGGGAGCGGUUUCGUAUUUUAUGUAAGUGAUUUAUUACUUUAAAACUGUUUUUUUCCACAGAGAGCUCCAGAUAUAACCGCUAAUCAUAUUACAAUCACAAUUCAUCAUUAAUGUCUUAUUACUAAUAAUUAUAAUGUUCUUAUAAUUCGGUAAACAUGUUAAUUACAAACAAAGCUAUGUGUGUUCCAGUGUUUCUUUCAGCUGUGCGCGUGCACGGCCACACAGACUAACCCCAACGCUAAUAUUAACCCUAACUGCAGGUCGCGCGCAACAAAAAACUUCCUACUUCCCGACUGGAGCAGAAAUAACACGAGAAGAAACGUUACUAACUUUAUCCCAAAUACCCCCAAAUACCCCAGUCUUUAAAGAAAAUAGUUCUCUUGUCUUUCACCCAAGAAUGGCUAAAUGAAAUGGUUCAUGUUUGCCAGAGAUAAAAUGGAAAACCUUCCUUCUCAGUAUCUCAGAGAGAUGUUUACUGGUAAAUAUGGAGAGAUGUUUACUGGUAAAUCCAGCGGAAAUUAUUGCUCGAUUUCCUGAAGGUGAGCUUAAGGAAUGGUCCGCUUUUAACCGAGAAACACUGGAUUCAAAAACACUUGGUUUAGAGCAUGGUACAGAUGACGUAAGCAGACUGACAGAGAAGGCCCAAAGUAUUUUAAAACAAUGGGAGAAGACUGCCACAGAGCAGAGGAUAGGGGUUAGAUAUAUCCGUCAGCAGUAUAAGGAUUUCAGGUUCACGAUGAAAGAAAAGCAGAUGGGAGCACUGUGGACAUUGGCUGAGAUGGUGACCUGGACAGUAAAAAGAGAGGAGUUCACUGAUAUGAGUUUGUACAGCUGAUUGGUGUUUGUGGUACAUUCCCAGUGUCCAGUGCAGACUGUGAACACGUUUCAGUCUGAUUAAUCUUAUCAAAAGAAAAUCACAAAACCGACUUCAGACCAUCCACUUCAUCAGAUAAUGAGAGUCCAAUCUACACAAGCAGACGCCCUAUAAAUCUGGGCAAGGUCCACACCACUGGAAAACAGACGAGACAGAUGGGGAAAGUUUUAAGAUGCUGCUCUGAGAGAGGCCUUCCACAAACCUGCAGGGCCAGACAAUGGACUGAUUAUAUAUAUUAUGUAUUAUAUAUAAUAUCUGAUAUUCUAUUAUAUGCAUAUGAGUUUAAUAAAACGUGUCUGGUUAAUUAAAGCAUUGUACUUUUGUAUUAUUAUUAGUUGCUGUACUCGUUGUAGAACAGUUAACAGAAGGGAGUAAGUCCUAAAGAACUAUAUUAGUUAUGGUAAGAUACCAGUACAGUCACAGAAGACAUUUUUGCUCAAAUUGCUUUUUUUUUUUUAAAUUUGCACUUGGAGAAAUUGUUAUUUGCUCAGUGCUGUUAAUAAUUAGAGGGAACACUAGUUCCAAAUUACUCUGUUUUCCAUGUUUAAGUGCACUACAAAGUGUGUGAAUUAACAUCCACUACUCACUAUUUAGUGCACUAACGCGACUAAAAAUAGUGAAGAUGAAUAAACGACAUUUAACCUCAAUAAAAUCUAUUAUUGACUAUAUUAAAAUCUACAUUUUCUGUUUAUCCGGUGAUCUUAUUAUUAUUAUUUAUUAUUUAAAUUAUAUAAAUAAUCUUAAAUUAAGUGUCUUAAGUUCUCAAAGUUUUGAUAAAUAACACGAGUUUUAUUAAAGUUCAUUAAAUGUGUUUGUUAGAGUUGUGUGUUCCUUUAGUCUUAUGUUCAGAGAUUAAAAGGUGAAAGCGGGUUUAUUAACGAUUAGAUUUUAGUCUGUAAAUGUGUGUAAAGGUGAAACAAUAAGAUUUUAAAUGACAAUUUGUGAAAAUGUAAUAAAUGUCUGCUCUGAUACUGUUAAAAAACAUUAAAUAUCAGUUUACAUAAAUAAUAAAGAAUUAAAGAUUUAAAUCAUACAAAAGAAUUUAAAAUCACUAAUUAUUAGUUUAAUUUACAAAUAAAUCUUUGAGUGAAUGUCCUUAUCUUUAUCUUUCCUUCUGCUCUGCUCACGUCAUGUUCACGUGAACUGGAACUCAUGGACGUUUACGCGCCUUGUUCUCCUGCUCAGCUUCAGGGGAUGUUUCUGUUUCAGUUUCAACUCCUUUACUGCUUUAAAUAAAUAAAACUCGCCGUAUAUCCAUUUUCCCUCACACUGACUGUGAGCUAGCGUUCAGGAGAACCGAGAGACCGUCGGCCAAUAAGACGCGAGUAUUUCCACGUAUUUCCUGUAAACGCUGUCUGAUUGGUCUCGCCUCCGUUCACUGAAGAUAUAACAUUACAGACGUCUUCUUUUACUGACGUUCAGUUACGUCGUGACGAACCGCUCCGAGUGGAGAAUUAUUCAGAGAUAAAGAGAAAAUCUUCAGGGCUACAGCCCUCAAUGCCCAGGCCGAGUUACACCCCUGGUGAUGAGUGAAUGACGUGCCUGUGGUCUGGUCUCCUCUCAGCAAGAGCUCCACACUAACACAUGACCUUCUUUCAUGUUCCUCUGUGCAGGUGUUGGAGCUCCAGUUGCUGUUAAAGGCUGUGAGAGAUGUUGAGCAGUAAAAGUGACCAGGAGAUCGGCUGGAUGCUGGACGAUUACGGGAUUAAACACGGUCCUGUGGUCGGUUCCACCAGAUCUCUGUAUGAGAAGAAGCUGAGAGAUGUGAUUGCUAAAGAGAGGAAAAUGAGAGGAACAUCAGAGCGAGUUGCCUACAGAGAACAACAGGAUGAAGACCUGUACGUUCACCAGCGCAGACCUUGGGGACACGACGCUUUCAGCAGUAGGGGAAACGCCAUGUUCAGCACUAAGGACAGAGAGGUGGACAUUGGGAAUGAGCCCAUGGUGUCUCAGUACUACACUGUGACCCAGGGGAACUACACAGCAGUGAGACAGGAGAGGACGCAGGAGAGGACGCAGGAGAGGACGCAGGAGAGGACGCAGGGUUCAGGACAAUUCGUCCCUCUGUGGUUGCAGAUUGUGUUCUUCCUCAUCGUAGCUGGUGUCCUAAUGUUCAUCUUCAUCAACAUGGAGCCAGCUCAGAGCGAGCCUUUCAAUCGACUCACAUAACACACGCUUCUCACGUCACACACGCUUCUCACAUCACACAC